rnacentral:rRNA from 1 species
GUGGGGAAUCUUGCGCAAUGGGCGAAAGCCUGACGCAGCCAUGCCGCGUGAAUGAUGAAGGUCUUAGGAUUGUAAAAUUCUUUCACCGGGGACGAUAAUGACGGUACCCGGAGAAGAAGCCCCGGCUAACUUCGUGCCAGCAGCCGCGGUAAUACGAAGGGGGCUAGCGUUGCUCGGAAUUACUGGGCGUACAGGGCGCGUAGGCGGACAGCUUAGUCAGAGGUGAAAGCCCAGGGCUCCACCUUGGAAUUGCCUUUGAUACUGGCUGUCUUGAGUUUGGGAGAGGUGAGUGGAACUCCGGGUGUAGAGGUAAAAUUCGUAGAUAUUCGGAAGAACACCAGUGGCGAAGGCGACUCACUGGCCCAAUACUGACGCUGAGGCGCGAAAGCGUGGGGAGCAAACAGGAUUAGAAACCCGGGUAGUCC